rnacentral:rRNA from 1 species
CAGUAGCCGCGGGAAUACGUAGGGUGCAAGCGUUAAUCGGAAUUACUGGGCGUAAAGCGUGCGUAGGCGGUUCGUUAAGACAGAUGUGAAAUCCCCGGGCUUAACCUGGGAACUGCAUUUGUGACUGGCGGGCUAGAGUAUGGCAGAGGGGGGUAGAAUUCCACGUGUAGCAGUGAAAUGCGUAGAGAUGUGGAGGAAUACCGAUGGCGAAGGCAGCCCCCUGGGCCAAUACUGACGCUCAUGCACGAAAGCGUGGGGAGCAAACAGGAUUAGAUACCCCCGUAGUCCCUGUCUCUUAUAC